rnacentral:tRNA from 1 species
GGAUUGUGGCUCAGUGGCAGAGCACUUGCCUCACACGUAUGAGGCACUGGGUUUAAUCCUCAGCACCA